rnacentral:rRNA from 1 species
GACGAACGCUGGCGGCGUGCCUAAUACAUGCAAGUCGAACGAGAGCGACCGGUGCUUGCCCUGGUCAAUCUAGUGGCGAACGGGUGAGUAACACGUGGGUAACCUGCCCAUCAGAGGGGGAUAACAUCCGGAAACGGAUGCUGAAACCGCAUAGGUCUUCGAGCCGCAUGGCUUGAAGAGGAAAAGAGGCGCAAGCUUCUGCUGAUGGAUGGACCCGCGGUGCAUUAGCUAGUUGGUGAGGUAACGGCUCACCAAGGCCGUGAUGCAUAGCCGACCUGAGAGGGUGAUCGGACACAUUGGGACUGAGACACGGCCCAAACUCCUACGGGAGGCAGCAGUAGGGAAUCUUCCGCAAUGGACGCAAGUCUGACGGAGCAACGCCGCGUGAGUGAAGAAGGUUUUCGGAUCGUAAAACUCUGUUGUUAGAGAAGAACAAGUGCUAGAGUAACUGUUAGCGCCUUGACGGUAUCUAACCAGAAAGCCACGGCUAACUACGUG